rnacentral:rRNA from 1 species
AUUGAACGCUGGCGGCAGGCCUAACACAUGCAAGUCGAGCGGGAACUUCGGUUCUAGCGGCGGACGGGUGAGUAAUGCGUAGGAAGCUACCCGACAGAGGGGGAUACCAGUUGGAAACGACUGUUAAUACCGCAUAAUGUCUACGGACCAAAGUGUGGGACCUUCGGGCCACAUGCUGUCGGAUGCGCCUACGUGGGAUUAGCUAGUUGGUGAGGUAAUGGCUCACCAAGGCGACGAUCCCUAGCUGGUUUGAGAGGAUGAUCAGCCACACUGGAACUGAGACACAGUCCAGACUCCUACGGGAGGAAGCAGUGGGGAAUAUUGGACAAUGGGCGCAAGCCUGAUCCGGCCAUGCCGCGUGUGUGAAGAAGGCCUUCGGGUUGUAAAGCACUUUCAGUAGGGAGGAAGGAUGUUGUGUUAAUAGCACAGCAUUUUGACGUUACCUACAGAAGAAGCACCGGCUAACUCUGUGCCAGCAGCCGCAGUAACAC